rnacentral:rRNA from 1 species
GAUGAACGCUGGCGGCGUGCCUAAUACAUGCAAGUCGAGCGAACGGACGAGAAGCUUGCUUUUCUGAUGUUAGCGGCGGACGGGUGAGUAACACGUGGAUAACCUACCUAUAAGACUGGGAUAACUUCGGGAAACCGGAGCUAAUACCGGAUAAUAUUUUGAAUCUCAUGGUUCAAAAGUGAAAGACGGUCUUGCUGUCACUUAUAGAUGGAUCCGCGCUGCAUUAGCUAGUUGUUAAGGUAACGGCUUACCAAGGCAACGAUGCAUAGCCGACCUGAGAGGGUGAUCGGCGACACUGGAACUGAGACACGGUCCAGACUCCUACGGGAGGCAGCAGUAGGGAAUCUUCCGCAAGGGGCGAAAGCCUGACGGAGCAACGCCGCGUGAGUGAUGAAGGUCUUCGGAUCGUAAAACUCUGUUAUUAGGGAAGAACAUAUGUGUAAGUAACUGUGCACAUCUUGACGGUACCUAAUCAGAAAGCCACGGCUAACUACGUG